rnacentral:rRNA from 1 species
UACGUAGGGGGCAAGCGUUGUCCGGAAUCAUUGGGCGUAAAGAGCGUGUAGGCGGCCAGGUAGGUCUGCUGUGAAAACUCGAGGCUCAACCUCGAGCUGUCGGCGGAAACCAUCUGGCUAGAGUCCGGAAGAGGAGAGUGGAAUUCCUGGUGUAGCGGUGAAAUGCGCAGAUAUCAGGAAGAACACCCGUGGCGAAGGCGGCUCUCUGGGACGGUACUGACGCUGAGGAGCGAAAGCGUGGGGAGCAAACAGG